rnacentral:lncRNA from 1 species
GUUUUGGAAUAAGAGAAAGGGGGAUGUGAAAAAAAAAAUUGGGGGGGGGGGUUAAAUUUUUCUCAUUUCAGAUUUCAUAAAUAAAAAAAAAAUUUCUUCAAACAUUUAUUUGAGAGGAUUAAUAUUCAACAGCAUAGUGUAUUGCUCAAAGGCAAAACAAAACAUUUAAGUUCAUUAGACCACAUUCAUUCUGUGUCAGAAACCUAUGCUGUGUCAACUAUUUAAUCACAAUCCAAAUUUAGAGCUGAAUCCAGCUUGAAUGUUGUGUCCAUACUUGCCCCAAC